UACGGAGGGUGCGAGCGUUGUCCGGAAUCAUUGGGCGUAAAGGGCGCGUAGGUGGCCCGGUCAGUUCGUGGUGAAAGCGCGGGGCUCAACCCUGCGUCGGCCAUGAAUACUGCCGCGGCUGGAGCACUGUAGAGGCAGGCGGAAUUCCGGGUGUAGCGGUGGAAUGCGUAGAGAUCCGGAAGAACACCGGUGGCGAAGGCGGCCUGCUGGGCCAUUCCUGACGCUGAGACGCGAAAGCUAGGGGAGCGAACAGG
rnacentral:rRNA from 1 species